CACCAGACUCCUACGGGAGGCAGCAGUGGGGAAUCUUCCGCAAUGGGCGAAAGCCUGACGGAGCAACGCCGCGUGAUCGAAUGAAGGCCUUCGGGUUGUAAAGAUCUGUUGACAGGGACGAAUAAGCAAUGCGAAUAGUUUUGUGUAUGACGGUACCUGUUUAGAAAGCUCCGGCUAACUACGUGCCAGCAGCCGCGGUAAUACGUAGGGAGCGAGCGUUAUCCGGAUUUACUGGGUGUAAAGGGCGUGUAGGCGGGAUGGCAAGUCAGGCGUGAAAACUAUGGGCUCAACCCAUAGCCUGCGUUUGAAACUGUCGUUCUUGAGUGAUGGAGAGGCAAGCGGAAUUCCGUGUGUAGCGGUGAAAUGCGUAGAUAUACGGAGGGACACCAGUGGCGAAGGCGGCUUGCUGGACAUCAACUGACGCUGAGGCACGAAAGCGUGGGUAUCGAACAGGAUUAGAUACCCGGGUA
rnacentral:rRNA from 1 species